GCUUAUGUACAUUCCUACAACAUAGAACUAAUGCAUCAGAUCCCAUUAGAAAUCCAUAUUUAAGCUUGCUUGGGAUUGAGUAUUACUGGUAUGGGUGACCACCUAGGAAUUCCUAGUGUUUUACAUGCC
rfam:Picea glauca, whole genome shotgun sequence.